UACAGAGGUCUCAAGCGUUGUUCGGAUUCAUUGGGCGUAAAGGGUGCGUAGGUGGCGGGGCAAGUCAGGUGUGAAAUCUCGGGGCUCAACUCCGAAACUGCACUUGAUACUGCCUUGCUCGAGUACUGGAGAGGAGAUUGGAAUUUACGGUGUAGCAGUGAAAUGCGUAGAUAUCGUAAGGAAGACCAGUGGCGAAGGCGAAUCUCUGGACAGUUACUGACACUGAGGCACGAAGGCCAGGGGAGCAAACAGG
rnacentral:rRNA from 1 species